rnacentral:rRNA from 1 species
GCUUAACACAUGCAAGUCGAGGGGCAGCAUGGUCUUAGCUUGCUAAGACUGAUGGCGACCGGCGCACGGGUGAGUAACACGUAUCCAACCUGCCGUCUACUCUUGGACAGCCUUCUGAAAGGAAGAUUAAUACAAGAUGGCAUCAUGAGUCCGCAUGUUCACAUGAUUAAAGGUAUUCCGGUAGACGAUGGGGAUGCGUUCCAUUAGAUAGUAGGCGGGGUAACGGCCCACCUAGUCUUCGAUGGAUAGGGGUUCUGAGAGGAAGGUCCCCCACAUUGGAACUGAGACACGGUCCAAACUCCUACGGGAGGCAGCAGUGAGGAAUAUUGGUCAAUGGGCGAGAGCCUGAACCAACCAAGUAGCGUGAAGGAUGACUGCCCUAUGGGUUGUAAACUUCUUUUAUAAUGGAAUAAAGUCGGGUAUGGAUACCCGUUUGCAUGAACUUUAUGAAGAAGGAUCGGCUAACUCCCUGCCAGCACCCGCGGGAAGAGGAGGAUCCGAGCGUUAUCCGGAUUUUUGGGUUUAAAGGGAGCGUAGAUGGAUGUUUAAGUCAGUUGUGAAAGUUUGCGGCUCAACGUAAAAAUUGCAGUUGAUACUGGAUAUCUUGAGUGCAGAUGAGGCAGGCGGAAUUCGUGGUGUAGCGGUGAAAUGCUUAGAUAUCACGAAGAACUCCGAUUGCGAAGGCAGCCUGCUAAGCUGCAACUGACAUUGAGGCUCGAAAGUGUGGGUAUCAAACAGGAUUAGAUACCCUGGUAGUCCACACGGUAAACGAUGAAUACUCGCUGUUUGCGAUAUACUGCAAGCGGCCAAGCGAAAGCGUUAAGUAUUCCACCUGGGGAGUACGCCGGCAACGGUGAAACUCAAAGGAAUUGACGGGGGCCCGCACAAGCGGAGGAACAUGUGGUUUAAUUCGAUGAUACGCGAGGAACCUUACCCGGGCUUAAAUUGCAGAUGAAUUACGGUGAAAGCCGUAAGCCGCAAGGCAUCUGUGAAGGUGCUGCAUGGUUGUCGUCAGCUCGUGCCGUGAGGUGUCGGCUUAAGUGCCAUAACGAGCGCAACCCUUGUUGUCAGUUACUAACAGGUUCCGCUGAGGACUCUGACAAGACUGCCAUCGUAAGAUGUGAGGAAGGUGGGGAUGACGUCAAAUCAGCACGGCCCUUACGUCCGGGGCUACACACGUGUUACAAUGGGGGGUACAGAGGGCCGCUACCACGCGAGUGGAUGCCAAUCCCAAAAACCUCUCUCAGUUCGGACUGGAGUCUGCAACCCGACUCCACGAAGCUGGAUUCGCUAGUAAUCGCGCAUCAGCCACGGCGCGGUGAAUACGUUCCCGGGCCUUGUACACACCGCCCGUCAAGCCAUGGGAGCCGGGGGUACCUGAAGUGCGUAACCGCGAGGAGCGCCCUAGGGUAAAACUGGUGACUGGGGC